rnacentral:rRNA from 1 species
GUUAAGCGACUAAGCGUACACGGUGGAUGCCCUGGCAGUCAGAGGCGAUGAAGGACGUGCUAAUCUGCGAUAAGCGUCGGUGAGGUGAUAUGAACCGUUAUAACCGGCGAUUUCCGAAUGGGGAAACCCAGUGUGUUUCGACACACUAUCAUUAACUGAAUCCAUAGGUUAAUGAGGCGAACCGGGGGAACUGAAACAUCUAAGUACCCCGAGGAAAAGAAAUCAACCGAGAUUCCCCCAGUAGCGGCGAGCGAACGGGGAGGAGCCCAGAGCCUGAAUCAGUGUGUGUGUUAGUGGAAGCGUCUGGAAAGGCGUGCGAUACAGGGUGACAGCCCCGUACACAAAAAUGCACAUAUUGUGAGCUCGAUGAGUAGGGCGGGACACGUGGUAUCCUGUCUGAAUAUGGGGGGACCAUCCUCCAAGGCUAAAUACUCCUGACUGACCGAUAGUGAACCAGUACCGUGAGGGAAAGGCGAAAAGAACCCCGGCGAGGGGAGUGAAAAAGAACCUGAAACCGUGUACGUACAAGCAGUGGGAGCCUCUUAAUGGGGUGACUGCGUACCUUUUGUAUAAUGGGUCAGCGACUUAUAUUCUGUAGCAAGGUUAACCGAAUAGGGGAGCCGAAGGGAAACCGAGUCUUAACUGGGCGUUAAGUUGCAGGGUAUAGACCCGAAACCCGGUGAUCUAGCCAUGGGCAGGUUGAAGGUUGGGUAACACUAACUGGAGGACCGAACCGACUAAUGUUGAAAAAUUAGCGGAUGACUUGUGGCUGGGGGUGAAAGGCCAAUCAAACCGGGAGAUAGCUGGUUCUCCCCGAAAGCUAUUUAGGUAGCGCCUCGUGAAUUCAUCUCCGGGGGUAGAGCACUGUUUCGGCAAGGGGGUCAUCCCGACUUACCAACCCGAUGCAAACUGCGAAUACCGGAGAAUGUUAUCACGGGAGACACACGGCGGGUGCUAACGUCCGUCGUGAAGAGGGAAACAACCCAGACCGCCAGCUAAGGUCCCAAAGUCAUGGUUAAGUGGGAAACGAUGUGGGAAGGCCCAGACAGCCAGGAUGUUGGCUUAGAAGCAGCCAUCAUUUAAAGAAAGCGUAAUAGCUCACUGGUCGAGUCGGCCUGCGCGGAAGAUGUAACGGGGCUAAACCAUGCACCGAAGCUGCGGCAGCGACACUAUGUGUUGUUGGGUAGGGGAGCGUUCUGUAAGCCUGUGAAGGUGGCCUGUGAGGGUUGCUGGAGGUAUCAGAAGUGCGAAUGCUGACAUAAGUAACGAUAAAGCGGGUGAAAAGCCCGCUCGCCGGAAGACCAAGGGUUCCUGUCCAACGUUAAUCGGGGCAGGGUGAGUCGACCCCUAAGGCGAGGCCGAAAGGCGUAGUCGAUGGGAAACAGGUUAAUAUUCCUGUACUUGGUGUUACUGCGAAGGGGGGACGGAGAAGGCUAUGUUGGCCGGGCGACGGUUGUC